UACAAUAAGCGCUUGGAGUCAGCAGGCUCCUCUCAGCGUGAAGCCUGAGGAUUAAAUGCUGUAGCUGAGAACUGAGUAUGGAUUUUGUUUUUGUUGGAGAUGGAACCCAGGGCCUCAGACAUUCAAGGCACGCACUUUCUAUCAUCUGAGGUCUCUGCCCCUCUGCUCCCCACUCUCCUAACAUCGAAAGGAAAACCACAACUGGACACAACCCAGAGAUCAGCAGAUCGUGGGGAGCACAGCCCAAUGGGUACAUACAUCUACAUCACAGCUCCUACACCUAUGGCUUGGGAGCAUCCUAGAAAAAUGGCAGAAAGAUCCCAAGAGCCAGCACACCAAAAAGUCAAACAGUGUCUCCUAGGAAUGGCUGCAUGAACAGAACUGGAACAAUGGCCAGAAGAGGGCACCAGACCUCAUUGCAGAUGGUUGUGAACCACCAU